AGAUGACCCACAAAUCCUAAAAUUAAAAAAAAAAAAGUAUAAGCCCUUUAUGAAACAGUACAUGACCCCUGCUGUAAACUUCCCUUUUUUUUUUUUUUUUGAGUCUCCCACAAUGAUUUUUUAAAUGAAGAUAUGUCAAAAGGGUCUAACAUUUGGAGGUAUGUCCACAGUCUUAUAAAUGGCAGGCAUGGUCUAACAUGGUCAUCCUGUCUUUGCCCCUCAGACAGUCCCCCUCUUCCAGGCCCCUGCUGGCUUAACAGAUGAACAAGACAUGGAUCCUGUCAUUGGAGAUGUCAUGAUUACCAGGAAAAGUGGCCAUGGAUUGGAUGCUGGAGAUUCUGCCAGAGCUGCUGCAGAAGAAUCAGCUGUGUCUGCCCGUGUGUUUACCGAAACAGCGCAUGCCCCUGCAUAUAUAUAUGGCUGCUGCAGCACGUUGCUCGCUUCUAGCUCUGAGACGCCUGGAAGUCAUCCUCUGGGGAGAACCAGAACAUUACCUGCCUGUGCCCUAGCUGCUGAGACACAGAAAUCGAAUUAAGGCUGAGCAUGGUGGCUCACGCCUGAAGCCCCAGCACCCUGAGAGGCUGAGGUAGGUGGAUUGCCUGAACCCAGGAAUUUGAAACCAGCCUGGGCAACAUGGCGAAACCCCAUCUCUACAAAAAAUACAAAGUUAGGCAGGUGGUAUGCUCCUGUAGUCCCAGCUACUUGGGAGGCUGAGGUGGGAGGAUCUCUUGAGCCCAGGAGGUCAAGGCUGCAGUGAGCCAAGAUUGUGUGACUGCAUUAUAGCCUGGACAACAGAGUGAGACCCUGUCUCAAAAAAAAAAAAAAAAUGGUAUUUAGCUUUCCAGAAUCUUUAGUUCAGAGCUUAGCUAGAAAGCAAUUGGAGUGGACAUUGGGAGAGCCAGCAUCAAGCUGUUGACUGGAUGCCCCGUUCCCCUUGUGGAUGCCCAUGACUACAUGUAAGGCAGCCUUUUACAGGGGGGUGGGCACAGAAAAUGAAAGCUAUUGAGGCUGGUCAGCCAGCUCUGGCUCCACAUAGGACAGACAGCACCCCAUGGGAACCCCAGCUCUGUGAAGUCUACCCCAGCCACUGUGUGGAGUCCAAAGACUUUUUCCAGCUUUCAGGAAGCCUUAACUCAGACACAGUGUGGGCUCACCGUAACCACCACAGAAGAAUGGCAGAAGUGACCUGUGGUUUAAAU
rnacentral:lncRNA from 1 species